CAGUCGCCACGGGAAUACGAAGGGUGCAAGCGUUAAUCGGAAUUACUGGGCGUAAAGCGCGCGUAGGUGGUUUGUUAAGUUGGAGGUGAAAUCCCCGGGCUCAACCUGGGAACUGCCUCCAAAACUGGCUGACUAGAGUACGGUAGAGGGUGGUGGAAUUUCCUGUGUAGCGGUGAAAUGCGUAGAUAUAGGAAGGAACACCAGUGGCGAAGGCGACCACCUGGACUGAUACUGACACUGAGGUGCGAAAGCGUGGGGAGCAAACAGGAUUAGAUACCCCUGUAGUCCCUGUCUCUUAUAC
rnacentral:rRNA from 1 species